rnacentral:rRNA from 1 species
AGAGUUUGAUCCUGGCUCAGGAUAAACGCUGGCGGCGCGCAUAACACAUGCAAGUCGAGCGAGAGGAGUAGCUUCGGUUACGAAUCUAGCGGCGGACGGGUGAGUAACACGUAGACAACCUGCCUUGUAGAGGGGGAUAGCCGGAAGAAGUUCCGGGUAAUACCGCAUAAUACAUAUUAAUUGCAUGAUUGAUAUGGGAAAGGUGAAUAACCGCUAUAAGAGGGGUCUGCGACUGAUUAGCUAGUUGGAGUGGUAACGGCACACCAAGGCCACGAUCAGUAGCCGGUUUGAGAGAAUGAACGGCCACAUUGGGACUGAGAUACGGCCCAGACUCCUACGGGAGGCAGCAGUGGGGAAUAUUGCGCAAUGGGGGAAACCCUGACGCAGCGACGCCGUGUAAAGGAUGAAGGUCUUCGGAUCGUAAACUUAUAUCGAUUGUGAAAAGUAAGGAUGGUAGCAAAGUAAGAAGCCCCGGCUAACUACGUGCCAGCAGCCGCGGUAAGACGUAGGGGGCAAGCGUUAUCCGGAAUGAUUGGGUGUAAAGGGUGAGUAGGCGGUUAAUUCAAGUCAUAUGUUAAAAGCUGCGGCUUAACUGCAGUACGGCAUAAGAAACUGAAUAACUAGAGUGCAGGAGAGGUAAGCGGAAUUCCUAGUGUAGCGGUGAAAUGCGUAGAUAUUAGGAAGAACACCAGUGGCGAAGGCGGCUUACUGGACUGCAACAGACGCUGAGGCACGAAAGCGUGGGGAGCAAACAGGAUUAGAUACCCUGGUAGUCCACGCUGUAAACGAUGAGUGCUAGGUGUUGGUGCGCGAGCAUCGGUGCCGGAGUAAACACAAUAAGCACUCCACCUGGGGAGUACGGUUGCAAGGCUGAAACUCAAAGGAAUUGACGGGGGCCCGCACAAGCGGUGGAGCAUGUGGUUUAAUUCGAAGCAACGCGAAGAACCUUACCAAAGCUUGACAUUAUACUGAGCCUAUAGAGAUAUAGGGGCUCUUCGGAGAGGUAUAACAGGUGGUGCAUGGUUGUCGUCAGCUCGUGUCGUGAGAUGUUGGGUUAAGUCCCGCAACGAGCGCAACCCUUACUGCCAGUAACUAACUAGCAAUAGAGCACACUGGCGGAACAGCCCUGGACAACAGGGAGGAAGGAAGGGAUGACGUCAAAUCAUCAUGCCCUAUAUGUUUUGGGCGACACACGUGCUACAAUGUAUGCAACAAAGUGAAGCAAUCAAGUAAUUGUGAGCAAAACACAAAAAAGCGUACUCAGUUCGGAUUGUAGUCUGCAACUCGACUACAUGAAGCUGGAAUCGCUAGUAAUCGCGAAUCAGAAUGUCGCGGUGAAUACGUACCCGGGCCUUGUACACACCGCCCGUCACACCAUGGGAGUUGGAAGUUCCCGAAGUUCAUGACCCAACCGUAAGGAGGGAGUGACCGAAGGAAAAGUCAAUGACUGGGGUGAAGUCGUAACAAGGUAGCC